CAUUCCCUGCUGUGUUCGUGAAAAGCUGGUUUCGUUUUGGCCCAACACCAAAAUGAAGGGUGCCUGACUCUGUCAAUGGCCUGCAGGCCCUUGUCUUUGAGGGAAGCAUAAAAUUGAUAGGAGGGUUCCCACCUGCUGAUUCGCAGGUUCAAAACGCCUGGCUCACACGACUCGGUGGGGCUCUU
rnacentral:other from 1 species